UCCCUUUAAAUCCUCCCAAGCCCUUCCCGGCUCGGAUUGCAGCCGAUGGAAUUUUCCAGCGCCCCGAGGUUUCCAUGGAGACCGGGAAUGUUGUGGUGCACCUUGGGAGAAAGGAAUUCCAGGGAUUUCGCCUCUUUCCCUUUGGAAUUGGGGCUGGAGAGGAGCCGGAGCCGGGAAUUUUCCCCUUCCCGUUCCCAUGGAUCCGGAUCCCGGCUGAGGGAAAAAGUCCUGGAAUGUUUGGCAUGGAAGGAAACUCUGAAAGUUCUCCAGAGAAAAAAAUUCCAAGACUUCCUCUCUCCUGUCUCGCCUCUGUAUCCAAAGGAAAAACCAUCCCGGUGGUGACGGAGCUCAAGGAAUGUUGGGACAGCGCCCUUGGAGAAGCUGGAACGGGACAGAUCCAGCCUGGAGCCCUCCCAAGGAAGGGACAAACCCUUGAUCCUGAUCCAAGGGCUGAGAAUGCCCUGGGAAUAAAAUAUUCCUGGGAC